rnacentral:rRNA from 1 species
AACGAACGCUGGCGGCAUGCCUAACACAUGCAAGUCGAACGAGACCUUCGGGUCUAGUGGCGCACGGGUGCGUAACGCGUGGGAAUCUGCCGUGGGGUGCGGAAUAACUCGGAGAAAUCCGUGCUAAUACCGCAUAAUGUCUUCGGACCAAGGAUUUAUCGCCCUGGGAUGAGCCCGCGUAGGAUUAGCUAGUUGGUGGGGUAAAGGCCUACCAAGGCGACGAUCCUUAGCUGGUCUGAGAGGAUGAUCAGCCACACUGGGACUGAGACACGGCCCAGACUCCUACGGGAGGCAGCAGUGGGGAAUAUUGGACAAUGGGCGAAAGCCUGAUCCAGCAAUGCCGCGUGAGUGAUGAAGGCCCUAGGGUUGUAAAGCUCUUUUACCCGGGAUGAUAAUGACAGUACCGGGAGAAUAAGCUCCGGCUAACUCCGUGCCAGCCGCCGCAGUAACAC